GAAGAGAUUGUCAUCAUAGAGCAGACAUGGGAUGUCUGCAGCUAACUUCUCAAGAACGAGCAUCAUGAGGCCCCGGGAAAAUUCAAGCUGAAAGAAACAUGUAAGCAGGAGAGUAUCUCCAGCUCUAUAUCUGUUCCAGGGCAGAUGUGCCCUAAGCGCCAGAGAAAGCGGAAGGCCACAGCAGCUUCCUGACAAAGAAGACCAAGAUUCAGGAAACAAGUUAUCCCUUGUAUUUUUCUUCCCAGAUCAACUUUUACUGGCAAAUUCACUGAAGGGUGCAGAUCUGGUUGUAAACGACUGGGAGCUGAAUGGCAGAAGAGGACUCAGCAUCAAAUAUGCACUUUACCCUGUGCAGAGGCCCAAAAAACGUGGCCUUUUACAAGAAGGAGGAACAUGAGGGAUCUGGAAGCAAGAAGAUGCUUCUGGAGGUUGUGCUCUACUAAAAUGAGGGACUAAACAAAGAAAAAAAGAAGAUAUAGGAUAUAGGAAACAGAAGAUAUAAUGCAGGAGAAAAAUGAUUUGAGAGGCCCUGACAACAAUUCUUCACUAGACAUGGAUUGGUACAGGUCCAGAAGGCCCAGAAGAGACUCCAUUUUCAGAUGAAACUGAUAGAACACCUCAUCCAUCUAAGUCUUGGGAAGCAGAGAUUGAAACAAUCGUUAAAAAGUUUGG